rnacentral:rRNA from 1 species
UCCCUUUUGGGGGAGGGUAACUCCAUUGUUAUUUCGGGGGACACUUGCAAAGCGAAAACCCCACAUGCCCUGGGGAAACAUGGCUUUUAGCCCUUCUAAUAAGACCCGAAUUCGAUUACUAUGGGGGGAAGCUCCCAGGGACUUUUACCGGCUCUGAAUGGAUUUCCCCCGCUCGGGUAUUGAGACCGCCCCAAAUUCUUGGGGGAGCACCAGUGGGGAUUUUGGCAACGGGGGCAACCCUGAUCCACCAUCCGUGUGUGAAUAAGCCUUCAGUUUUAAAGCACUUUAAGCGAGGAGGAGGUACUGUUAAUACUACCACUGGACGUUACUGCAGAAUAAGCACCGGCUAAUCUGUGCCACAGCCGCGGUACUACCGAGGGUCCAAGCGUUAUUCGAUUUUGGGAGUAAAUGAUAGGCGUAAUUAUUCGGAUGUGAAAUCCCCGAGCUUAACUUGGGAAUUGCAUUCGAUACUGGUUAGCUAGAGUGUGGGAGAGGAUGGUAGAAUUCCAGGUGUAGCGGUGAAAUGCGUAGAGAUCUGGAGGAAUACCGAUGGCGAAGGCAGCCAUCUGGCCUAACACUGACGCUGAGGUGCGAAAGCAUGGGGAGCAAACAGGAUUAGAUACCCUGGUAGUCCAUGCCGUAAACGAUGUCUACUAGCCGUUGGGGCCUUUGAGGCUUUAGUGGCGCAGCUAACGCGAUAAGUAGACCGCCUGGGGAGUACGGUCGCAAGACUAAAACUCAAAUGAAUUGACGGGGGCCCGCACAAGCGGUGGAGCAUGUGGUUUAAUUCGAUGCAACGCGAAGAACCUUACCUGGCCUUGACAUACAAGAAACUUUCCAGAGAUGACUUUCCCUUCGGGAACCACAUACGGUGCUGC